UACGGAGGGGGCUAGCGUUGCUCGGAAUUACUGGGCGUAAAGCGCACGUAGGCGGCUUUGCAAGUCAGAGGUGAAAUCCCGGGGCUCAACCCCGGAAUUGCCUUUGAGACUGCAUCGCUAGAAUUGUGGAGAGGUAAGUGGAAUUCCGAGUGUAGAGGUGAAAUUCGUAGAUAUUCGGAAGAACACCAGUGGCGAAGGCGACUUACUGGACACAUAUUGACGCUGAGGUGCGAAAGCGUGGGGAGCAAACAGG
rnacentral:rRNA from 1 species